CAAAACCUCCCAAGACAUUUUGGAUUUGCGCCAGUAUUAUACGCAACAAGUGUGAGUUUACCAUGGGCAAGAGUGUAGAUGGCAUCGAUAACACUGUUGGUUUCCGGCUUGGUGCUUACAAAAGU